rnacentral:lncRNA from 1 species
AAGCUCGAACACUGACGAAGUCCGGAUGAAGUUCGAAAUAGAGUCGUUCAUGGCCAGAAGAAGUCUGGAAGAGAUUCAGAGAAUAGUCGAUCAUCGUAGAAAAUCGAUUGAUAGCAGAGUUUAGAGGGCGUUUAGAGUAGUCCGAUAGAUGAAUGGAGAAGCUCAUUGUCGGAGAAGUUCGGAUGGUCGAGGGAGUUCAGAAAGACGUCACACA